rnacentral:rRNA from 1 species
CAGUAGCCGCGGUAAAACGGAGGGCGCGAGCGUUACCCGGAUUUACUGGGCGUAAAGGGCGUGUAGGCGGCCUGGGGCGUCCCAUGUGAAGGGCCACGGCUCAACCGUGGAGGAGCGUGGGAUACGCUCAGGCUAGAGGGUGGGAGAGGGUGGUGGAAUUCCCGGAGUAGCGGUGAAAUGCGCAGAUACCGGGAGGAACGCCGAUGGCGAAGGCAGCCACCUGGUCCACUUCUGACGCUGAGGCGCGAAAGCGUGGGGAGCAAACCGGAUUAGAUACCCGCGUAGUCCCUGUCUCUUAUAC